UAUUGAGAUAAACGUCGGAGGAAUGGCAGAGCUUUGACAGCAGGGAGACAGCGAACACGCAGCACAUUCGUGCCCGGUAUGAAAGCUGUGAAGGUGCGUGCCGUAGCAGCACGUGCAGCAGAUUCACACAUUAAAACAUGCUACCGUCUGAAAGGGGGUUAUGGAGAGGAGGGCUCAGGCCAAGUGACGUCACACUACCAGUGCAGCAAAACAUGGCGGCCUCAGGCGGUUUAACUAAGACAUUCAGCAAGGGUUUUUCUUGGUUCAGACCAAGUGAGCAGCAGCUGCUUGUCUACCUUCCCGUCUGCAGCACACCCACAUGACUGGAAGCUAAAAACAAACAGCUGAGUGAAAGACAAAAUAAGCAGUUUUUGAGCCGACUGGAUGAGGUCCUCCAGAGACAAGACGCUUGGAGCCAGAAGAAAUUAGAUCCCUGUCUCUCCAUGCAGCCUGUGCGCCGUGCCCAGUUUCAGGAUGGUGAGCUAAAGUUUCAGAUCUCUCCAGGUUCGCCCAGACGCCU